rnacentral:rRNA from 1 species
UACGGGGGGGGCAAGCGUUGUUCGGAAUUACUGGGCGUAAAGGGCUCGUAGGCGGCCAACUAAGUCAGACGUGAAAUCCCUCGGCUUAACCGGGGAACUGCGUCUGAUACUGGAUGGCUGGAGUUUGGGAGAGGGAUGCGGAAUUCCAGGUGUAGCGGUGAAAUGCGUAGAUAUCUGGAGGAACACCGGUGGCGAAGGCGGCAUCCUGGACCAAUACUGACACUGAGAGACGAAAGCCAGGGGAGCAAACGGG